rnacentral:rRNA from 1 species
GACGAACGCUGGCGGCGUGCCUAAUACAUGCAAGUAGAACGCUGAAGGAGGAGCUUGCUUCUCUGGAUGAGUUGCGAACGGGUGAGUAACGCGUAGGUAACCUGCCUGGUAGCGGGGGAUAACUAUUGGAAACGAUAGCUAAUACCGCAUAAGAGUAGAUGUUGCAUGACAUUGGCUUAAAAGGUGCAAUUGUAUCACUACCAGAUGGACCUGCGUUGUAUUAGCUAGUUGGUGGGGUAACGGCUGACCAAGGCGACGAUACAGCGCCGACCUGAGAGGGGGGUCGGCCACCCUGGGACUGGGACCCGGCCCAGACUCCUACGGGAGGCAGCAGUAGGGAAUCUUCGGCCAUGGACGGAAGUCUGACCGAGCAACGCCGCGUGAGUGGAGAAGGUUUUCGGAUCGUAAAGCUCUGUUGUCAGGGAAGAACGAGUGUGGGAGUGGAAAGUUCACACUGUGACGGUAUCUUACCAGAAAGGGACGGCUAACUACGUG